rnacentral:rRNA from 1 species
AGUGAACGCUGGCGGUAGGCCUAACACAUGCAAGUCGAGCGGCAGCACAGUAAGAGCUUGCUCUUACGGGUGGCGAGUGGCGGACGGGUGAGGAAUACAUCGGAAUCUACUUUUUCGUGGGGGAUAACGUAGGGAAACUUACGCUAGUACCGCAUACGACCUACGGGUGAAAGCAGGGGAUCUUCGGACCUUGCGCGAUUGAAUGAGCCGAUGUCGGAUUAGCUAGUUGGCGGGGUAAAGGCCCACCAAGGCGACGAUCCGUAGCUGGUCUGAGAGGAUGAUCAGCCACACUGGAACUGAGACACGGUCCAGACUCCUACGGGAGGCAGCAGUGGGGAAUAUUGGACAAUGGGCGCAAGCCUGAUCCAGCCAUACCGCGUGGGUGAAGAAGGCCUUCGGGUUGUAAAGCCCUUUUGUUGGGAAAGAAAAGCAGCAGGUUAAUACCCCGCUAUUCUGACGGUACCCAAAGAAUAAGCACCGGCUAACUUCGUG